CUAGAUAUCAUACUCGUAAACCAAACGAUAAGUUUAUUUUACUCUCAUAUGUGCUCUAAAGACUUGUUCACAUCACAUUGCAGAGAAAAUCAUGAUUACGCGAUUGAUCAUCCUUUGCAUUAUUUUAUCCUUCGGUUUGAACGAUGCUAGACCAGAAACGUAUUCCUGGACAGAAAGAAUCUAUCCAAUUAAGACCGUAGGAACAUUUUCACUCCCAAGUAAAACGUGGUAUCCCACAAUAUGGUUACCACCCGAAGACCCGCCCGUACCUGAACGAUCAAGAAUAGGAAGAAUAUUCUCAGACAUGAAAAACAAAAUAAGGAAUUUCCUUGUUGCUAGCCGGCCUAAGUGACGACUCGAUCAACAAAAGUAUCUGUCAAUCUUACACUUAUCUUAUGCUACAUAAUUUAUAAGGACCUGAAAAUGUUUUGUUGUUGGAAAUCAAAAGAGGAAAAAAACUUGGUAAGUAACUAAGUACUCAAUGGUAAUUUUAAAAAUAUGAAUGUAUCUAUAUGUUGUUCUUCUUUUAUUAAAAUGUUCUUCUCGUAA